CCUGCCCCUAAGUCUGGGAUACCAUUUGGAAACAGGUGCUAAUACCGGAUAAUAAAGCAGAUCGCAUGAUCAGCUUUUGAAAGGCGGCGUAAGCUGUCGCUAAGGGAUGGCCCCGCGGUGCAUUAGCUAGUUGGUAAGGUAACGGCUUACCAAGGCGACGAUGCAUAGCCGAGUUGAGAGACUGAUCGGCCACAUUGGGACUGAGACACGGCCCAAACUCCUACGGGAGGCAGCAGUAGGGAAUCUUCCACAAUGGACGCAAGUCUGAUGGAGCAACGCCGCGUGAGUGAAGAAGGUUUUCGGAUCGUAAAGCUCUGUUGUUGGUGAAGAAGGAUAGAGGUAGUAACUGGCCUUUAUUUGACGGUAAUCAACCAGAAAGUCACGGCUAACUACGUGCCAGCAGCCGCGGUAAUACGUAGGUGGCAAGCGUUGUCCGGAUUUAUUGGGCGUAAAGCGAGCGCAGGCGGAAAAAUAAGUCUAAUGUGAAAGCCCUCGGCUUAACCGAGGAACUGCAUCGGAAACUGUUUUUCUUGAGUGCAGAAAAGGAGAGUGGAACUCCAUGUGUAGCGGUGGAAUGCGUAAAUAUAUGGAAAAACACCAGUGGCGAAGGCGGCUCUCUG
rnacentral:rRNA from 1 species